UGGUUUUUAAUCUUACAUGGUGUUUUUUUUUUUUUGUGCGAAGUUGAAUCUAGAGUUUGUUGGUGGCUAUUUUGUCUUUCGAGAAUUGGGAAGCAUACCAACAAUUGCUUCAAGGUGAGCAACCAUUUCUUUUUUGAAUCACCAUGAAUGUACCUAGUGGGAAACACACAAUGCUAGAAUUGGAUGGUUUUUAGAUAUUGCUUUGUCUUUUAUUGGAUAUUGUUUACUCUCGUCCUUUUUGUAGAAUUGAAUCACCGUUGAACUUGAUCUUACAUUUGGUUGGGGGUGAGAGAAUGCGAGCUUGCUCUUGUUUUUUUUUGGGAGGGAGGGGGGGAUUGUUUACUCUUAUUUUUUUGGAUAUUGUUUGCUCUUGUUUUUUUUUUUUGGAACUUCAAUGAGCCAUGACUGCUAUGUCUUAGUCUUUCGCAAAUUAUAUAUUUGCUGUGGCAGCCUAUAAUAUGCUGUCAACUGCUUGCUGAAUUGCAGAUUGCAUUGUUAUGUCAUUUCAUUCGAGUCAUAAAAUGAGAAACGACAGAAGUAGCAAAACACAUGUGUUUU
rnacentral:lncRNA from 1 species